UGCUCUUAACUGCUGAACCAUCUCUCCAGCCCCUGAUUUAUUUCUUAAGUGUCUGAGACAAGGCUUGGCACCUGUGAACUGCAGAGAACUAAGGAGAAUCCUAGACUAGAAGAAAUGCUGGAACUGGGACCCUGGCAAUGGUCAGAAGAGGGAUUUCGGAAGGUGAUCUGACAAGCUGCCAGAACCUCGUGAAAUAAGUUCCUCCUCUGGCUGGGUCCAGGUUUCCACUUUUUUCCUUCUCCCAGCCUGAGACUCUCAAGACUCUGGGGACUUUGCAGCUCCUGCAGGAUGCUGCUUCAGGACUCUGAUAGCCAAAGGAAGGUCCCAGGGCCUCUCAUCAGGAAUCUCAUUCCAGCCACCAUCCUCCUGCCCCUCUCCCCAUGAAUCUGACUCCUCUGGGUGUCUCACAUACCCAGUAAAAGACAAUGUUCAUAAAAGGUAUUUAACCUGAA